GGUUACUGCUGCCUCUGCCUCCUUUCUUGCCUCCCUUCCUCUUUCCUCAGCCAUUGCUGAGGGUGGGUGAGGGAGGGUGGAAGGACUGCGGGCUGUCUGGAGAGACAGAGCCUUACCCCUUCUCCUUGCUUCCGUGAUCUUCCCUCUCUCUAAGGCUCCUUUCUCCCCGCCUUGGACUGUAAACUGUCCUAUAGCCCCCAUCUCUUUGUCUCUCUCAUCCCCCCCCCCCACCUCCGCGGAUCUCCCCGCCCCCUGUCCCAGCGUCUGCUUCCUCUUUCUUUUCCCUCCACACCUCUCUUGCUUUUACCUCUCCGAUUUCUCUGGGCUAGCCUUGUAUCUUUUUCUCUUUGUAAUCUUCCAGUUAGAAUUCAUGUUUCUCCUUCAGGAAGCAGAGACAAAGAUUCUGUCUUAGGUUUCCCGGCCCCGCCCUUCUCAGCAAGCUCGCUCUUUAGGGUUUGGUGCUAGCAGGCUUUUUGUAGCCUAGCAACAAGUACUAAGUUCAGAGUCCAAAGCAAGGACCAGAGCAAGCUCAGUUCUGGUCGGGCAUGAGUGAACAUGAGGUGCUGGAGGGAAGAGAGAGCAGGACCCCAGGCUAGCUUGUGUACCCCACUUCCCAAAGGCACCAGAUAUAAGGAUGUCCCGAGAAGCCGAGAAGCCCGGCAAAAGCCGAGGUGAGGGCAGAGAUGAGCUGCCAUGGAUCAGCUGUCUGUUGGCAGAACUUUUCUGUAGCUGCCCCUGCCUGUGAUCUACAGGUGCCCCUGCCGGUGUCACACCAGUCAGUGCGUCCCAGGACCCCGGUACAGGACUUGGCAUACGGCAGGCUUCGAGUGGCGCCUCCGUAGACACGGUGAUUCGGGAGCUGAUGAGCACAUUCAUGCCCGUCUUCCAUAGCCUUUCAUCUCGCCGUCAUUUACUGUGCACCUGCUAUGUGCCAGGCGGUGUGCCGACUCUGCGUGGAUACAGAGAGGAAAUCUUCCCUGACCCUAAGGAGCUCUUACUUAAAAGACUAUGAUUACCAGGCUUGGUAAUACAGGAAAAGGGAUGGAACUGGAGAGCAUGAUGUUAAGAGAAGUAAGCCUGAUCUGGAAAGACAGGUGCUGCCAUUCCUGACCUGGGGCCUUCAGACUUGGAUUUAUCAGCUCCUUCUCACUCACUGCCCUGACCAUCUCUUCAGUUAUCAGACCUUUGAACUUGGCUGGAUGCUUCUACCAAUAUGGGUUCCUUAGCUUGCAGAAUACAGAUCACGGGACAUCUCAGUAUCCAUAACUGCAUUCUCUAAUUCCCAUAGAAAAUUCUCUUGGAUAUGUAUAGAGUGUAGACCUAUCUUCUGUUGGUUCUUUCCUCUAAGGCUCAUCAAGGACAGACAUCUUGCCCAUAAGAGAGCUGUCAGAAUUUGAACUCUGGUGAGAUAGUUAAUACAGAUUGUCAACUUGAUUGGAUGGAGAGUUGCCUGGGAGAUUAGCAAAGCUCCUCUCUGGUGUGUCUAUGCACGCAUUUUUAGAGAUGAUUUGGUUGCAAGCUCUCUGACCUAACUGAUGCUUUAAUCCAUUGAUGGAUUAAGAUUUUGAGUAUCCUGUUGGGAGAUAGUGAAGCUGUGGAAGGUGGGGCCGAGUUGGAGGAGGUUGAACACUAGUAUGCUCUUGGGGGAGGAUCUGUCAUGCUGGUCCCUUCCUUUGCCUGCUCAGUGGCUGCUGUGAAGGGGUUAGCAGUGUUGUCUCAAUUCAUCCUUCCGCCAUGUUCUGCCUCCCACAGCAGGAGACCUGGAUUAAAACAGAGACACGAUAAAUAGUUCUUCAUUUAAGUCAUUUCUUUCAGGCAUUUGGCCCAACAAGAGAAAACCAAGAUACUGAGUCUUUUCUACCGGUUUUGAAGAAUAGAUAAGUUUUCUUUAGCAUAAAGUAUACCCCUCCUCCCAAUGGUAGAGAAGUAGAAGAGAGAAGGAGAGGGAGUUAUGAGAUGGAGUAUUUGUUGAAUUUUUCAAAACAUCUGCCACUUGGCUAGGCACCACAUGGUUUAAUCUUAUUUAAUUCUCACAACACCCAAGUGCAAAUCCGUAAUUGCCCACAUUUUGUGGAUGAGUGUAUCGAGGCUUAGAAAUGGCAAUUGAUCUGCCUAAGGUCAUGAAAUGAGUAAGUGUUGGAUCAAGAAUUCCUAUCCAAAUGGACCCAAUUCCAAAGUCCAGGCUAAUUAAAAAUAAAAUUUUGUGCUAAAUCGAAUAGCAGCUCAUUCUAGAUUCUAUUAAAGGUAAGUUGCAGCAGAGGCCAAAAUUUAAAAAUAAAUUUAUAGUUGAAAAACUUACAAUUAAGACAAUCAUAAAUUAACUUCUUUUUCUGGGCCUGGAGAAAGGUAUGCUAUGAUUGAAUUUUAGCAGCAUUGGAGCCACAAAUGUGGCCUAAGCACCAUGGAGAGUGUUCAAUAAAUCAGGAGUUAGAGAGACCAGUGCAAAGAAGCUGACCCAGGCCGAGUGCCCAGAGAGGACACUGUGUGAGAGCUUGCUGGACAUGGAGAGCGAGCAGGAGGCACAGCCAGGUUGGGGCUGCCUGAGAGGCCAGGCUUGGCAUCAUUCUGGGCUGCAAAUGCUAUCUGCCAGAAAUGAUCAUAUGUGCUCAAAAACAGGGACCAGGAGCAGAUGAGGUUGACAUUUCUCUUCCUUGCUCACUAACCUUUUACGACUCCCCACUGUAGCCUAAGCAAACCCCAUAAGCUUUAACUUCAAAAUCUUUUUUUAUUUAAUCAGCCUCAUUGUGAAGCUUGAGCUGGUCUUACACUCAAGAUCCUCCUGCCUCAGCCUCCCAAGUGUUGUGAUUACAGGUAUGGAUCACCAGAUGUGGCUCACUGUAAGUCUUACUUUCCUAAAUCCGUUGCCUAGUAACUUCAGCUCUCUUCAUAACCAUCACACCCCAGUGAAAGUGCUCUACUUCCUGUGAACUCAGUUCAAGGUUUCAGAUUCCUUCUUUUUCUCCUUUCCUCCAUUUUCCUUCCAAGUCGACACGCCAAAUCCCUGUUCAUUUUUCAAGUACACUUUCCUGAUGUAUCUGCUUAAUCAGUCACAGCCCAGGUGCCUUCAUCCAUGAAACUUCAUCUGAAUGUCCACUUGGAAGCACCAUUACUUGUCAUUAUUUACAAUGAGCGUGUAAUGCCUCUAGUUGGUGCUAAUCAUGUGUAUGUCUCAUUGUCUACUGUGUGUAAUCUCUUUGUGGGCAGGGGUGGUAGUUUGUGCUUUCACAGGGAGUGUCUUAACUGGUAUUUCCUGAGAAGAAAAGAUGGAUACCUUAAGGUCAUUGUUUUUAGACAAUGGGGAAGGUUCAAGUUCAAUAAUUUAGAAGUACCCUGAACUUGUUUAAAAGUUAACAUACUUGAAACAUUUUGAAAACUAAAUUUCUAAAAAAUAGACACACACUCAUUCAUUUAUUCAUUCAAUGCCUUCAAUGUAGGACUGGAGAAACCACUUAGUAGCAAGGGUCUUCCUACCAUGUGGCUCAGCCUUGAAUUCUAUCCUUGGUGCUGAAGAAGGAAGAAGGAAGAAGGGAAGAAGGGAAGAAGAGAAGAAGGGAAGAAGGGAAGAAGGGAAGAAGGGAAGAAGGGAAGAAGGGAAGGAAGGAGUCUUAGAGUUUCAAUUACUAUACCAAAGCACCAUGACCAUAAGCCACUUGAGGAGAAAGGGUUUAUUCA